rnacentral:lncRNA from 1 species
CAGAAAUCAAACCACUACUGCAUACCCACAGUCAUGUGUGAAAUUCAGUUGUGUUUUCUUGUAUAUGGAGGACGUCACCAACAACAAAAAGGGCAGCUUCUUGAGGAGUCAGAACCAUCAGUGGACCACACUUGUCAGUCUCCCUGUCCAAGCUGAGUCCUUGGAGUAGCUGUUCAUGCAAGGAGUACCUUGGAGAAUUCCCACAGACACUGGAGAAGCAAAGCAAAGGUUUCCAAACAUCAGUCCAUGUGGAGUUUGCAUAUCUUUAAGGAUCAUCCCUACUCUGAAAGCCAGGAUAAAGAAAAGAAUCACAGUUUUCAGACUGGGGGGAGGGCAAUCAAGUCAGCAGAGUCAAGUGUGAGGUCCAUGGAAUGAUGCUCCAAGUGGGAAU